UACGAAGGGGGCUAGCGUUGCUCGGAAUCACUGGGCGUAAAGGGUGCGUAGGCGGGUUUUAAGUCAGAGGUGAAAUCCUGGAGCUCAACUCCAGAACUGCCUUUGAUACUGAAAGUCUUGAGUAUGGGAGAGGUGAGUGGAACUGCGAGUGUAGAGGUGAAAUUCGUAGAUAUUCGCAAGAACACCAGUGGCGAAGGCGGCUCACUGGCCCG
rnacentral:rRNA from 1 species